GGGGAAUAUUGCGCAAUGGGGGGAACCCUGACGCAGCAACGCCGCGUGAAGGAUGAAGGUUUUCGGAUUGUAAACUUCUUUGAUUAGGGACGAAAUAAAUGACGGUACCUAAAAAACAAGCCACGGCUAACUACGUGCCAGCAGCCGCGGUAAUACGUAGGUGGCAAGCGUUGUCCGGAAUUACUGGGUGUAAAGGGCGUGUAGGCGGGAAUGUAAGUCAGAUGUGAAAUACCGAGGCUUAACUUCGGGGCUGCAUCUGAAACUAUAUUUCUUGAGUACUGGAGAGGGAAGCGGAAUUCCUAGUGUAGCGGUGAAAUGCGUAGAUAUUAGGAGGAACACCAGUGGCGAAGGCGGCUUUCUGGACAGUAACUGACGCUGAGGCGCGAAAGCGUGGGGAGCAAAC
rnacentral:rRNA from 1 species